CCUACUACUUGGUUUUUUUUCGAGGCUACCCAUGUUUCUUUCACUCUUGAGCUUCUUCCUAAUUUGUUCGGUUUCGCCUACUACUUGGUUCUUUCUCGAGGCAAUGUGGGAAAAGGUGUAAGUUUUGGAUGUGACUGCUACUUGGACAACAUUUCAGGUGAAGCAAGAUAAAUUUCUGAGCAUUUAUCAAGUAGUCAUGAAUCAUGGACAAGUGAACAUGAUAAUGUUCAAUAUGGAUAUGCAUAAUUAUGAAGCUUCAUACAUGUUAGAAGGAUUAAGGUUGCUUGACGUGGCAGGAUUCAUAAGCCGGUAUGCCUAAACUAGUGAAAAGUCGUAAUAGUAUGCCCUUAUUAAACUUCAUUUCCAAGGUUUCAUGGUUACUGAGUACCGAAUUGUGCUAGCAAGAUUACUGAUACGGAAGGUUACAUCAUCUCUGAACUAACCUUCCAUCAUUGUAUUUAAUCAUUCAUUUUUUCUUUUGAAGAAGAUUUAAUCAUUCAUUUGAACACUACUAAAAUUAUUCACUGUAUUUUUUUUUUUUUGGCACACAACACAACACAGGCUGAAAUGUCUAAAUGAUACAUUGAUUUAACAAUUUAUAGUAAUUAACUUUGAUAUUUUCUUGUAAAAGUUGAACAAUUUAUAGUAAAAACAAACUUGAUGUAAAAAAAUUGAGAGCAAAAAGAGGACAGGAAAGGAAAAAACAAAUAUAAGUCUAGUACCAAUAUCUUAUACAACUUACAAUCAUAUAUAAGUGUCUAGUACCAAUUAAUAUCUUAUACCUGUAUUAUGUAACAUGUGCAUCAGAUGCAUAUACUAACAUUUAGUCCUCAUGUUAUGCACACUAUUUGUUUGUUAAAAUGCCCCACAUGACCAAUUUUAUUUUUUGUUAAAGCUUUCUAUUCAGGAUGUAAAUCCAUAUACGUUUUGUUAAUUCAUGAGUGGAGGCUCUAAAACAGAACACUUAAAUGAUGAAAUCCAAUUCUAGACUGUUAUGGUUGAUUGCAAUAUUGAAUAAGAUCAAUGACAAUGAGGUUUGAUACAGAUAACAGAUUUCACAAAGAUGAAUGGGAAGAGAAGAAGAACACAAGGAUUAUUGAGCUUCGGAGCAAUUGAUCAACAUCCUCAUUGAUGUAGCUUUCUAUCCAAUGAUCAAAUAAUUACUGGUAUGUUUCAAUAUGUAUACCUAAGAUUGACAUUAUCAUUAUCAUUAUACAUAACAGGACUUGUAAUGGUCUUAAUAGCUAAUUAACAUGAUAAUCUUAGGAGACUUGUUUGCUGGUCAAACGAUUAUGGAUACCCCCUGCAAUUUUUACUUAUAUUUCGGGCCAUCCCUAUCCUGUUCAAAAUAGGCACGGCCAAAAUUUGACCCACAUAUCAUUGAGUUUAUUGAGUCUAAGAUCGAAUUAAUGUUUAAAAAAUAUAAACGGGCUAGUCAAAAUGAAGGAAGGGUUAGGGGAAACAAUUAUCCAGAAAAAUAAAAUUCUAAAUGAACUCAUAUAUUAUUAACCACAAUCAUAAAGUAAAGUAAAAUGUCCUAAUAGCUAGAUUCUAGCUUGUUCUGUCUGUCCAUUAUACAUUUUUACAGAAUAUGCCAAAUACAAAAUUGACCAAACCUGUCCUAUGCCCGAAAUCUUAAAUUUACAGGACAGCCAAUGUGAAAGCUUGUCACCUGUCCUGUGUUUUAAGUGUCGCAGCCGAACUUGUUCAUCAUUUCUCUGAGAAUAUGUCGCUUGUUGCUCAUGGGACUGUUUGAAUAAGAGUCGGAUGCAUAUAUCAGUUAAUAAGAUAGUAUCAUCACAAGGCAUCAAGUCUAUUUUACUGCAAAUAAAAUUAUUAUGUUUUAUCACUUGAUGCCAGAACUGACCCUCGAACCAGAUUAAACUGGUGGUGAAAGCCUAAAAAAAUAUAUAUUGUGUUUUGUGGAUGCAUGUUGUCUGGAUCAUACUAUUAUAGAGUCAGCUGCAAAUUCUAUUUACUCUCAUAUAAUACCAAAAAACUUGAUAUUCAUGACAAUUUAAUCAGAACAUUAAUGAUAAUAAGAACAUCAAUGAAAUAUCAUUUUUUAAAAAAAUAUAAAAUCUAGCUUAUAAUUAAACAAUGCCGUAAUGAAUUUUGAUGAGAAAAGUGCUAAAAUCAUGGUACAAAAAUAUUUGAAGUUUUAACUUAAAUGAGGGUAUAAAAAAGAAAAGUACCGGGAAGAUAAUUACCUCAAAUCCUAUGUUCUAGAAUGGGCGGAGAUCCAAAUUAAGAUGCCUAACUCAACAGUUCCAAAGAUGUUCAUCUUCUUCUUCUUGUGAUUCAAAAACGGUUGAAAGUAUCCAGCGAAACCCACACUCUUUUAUGCCUACUUCAUCAUGUAAAGUUUCAUCAAUAAUGAGCCCAAUAUUUCAAGAGUUUCAAAGAUGUCUUUCUUGGAUGAAUUCUUUCUUCUUCUUCUUCUUCUUCUUCUUCUUCUUCUUCUUCUUCUUCUUCUUCUUCUUGGGAUUCAAAAACUGUGGAAAACUCUGCUGCUUCUUUAUAUAUCCAGCGAAACCCACACUCUUUUAUCGCUACUUCAUCCUCCAAAGUUCCAUCAUGUAAAUUUUCAUCAAUAAAGAAUCUAAAUGCAAGCUUUGAACUGUAACUGGUGUUGUUCACAUCAUUAAUGGCUUUUAUUUCUUCAUUGAUUUUCUUGCAACUUACUGGAUCAUACCAUAAAACCACAUGAUCUGACAUCAAGUGGAGUAAAGGACUGUAAUUUAAUUCAUGAAUGAACGAGUUGGAUCUUGUGAAACUUGUUAUAUAGAUCCUUUCACCUGAACUAUAUUCCAAGUAGCACUCACAUCCAAAAUUUACACUUUUUUUCAUAUGGCCCUGAGAAAGAACGAAAUAGUAGGCAAAACCCAACAAAUUAGGAGGAAGCUCGAGAGUGAAAGAAACUUGUGUAGAACGGUAAUGGAACCAAUAUUCUCUGCCAGGCAUAUCAGUUAAUGAGCACAGUAAAACAAGGAUUGGGUUUGAUACAUGCUUCACUCAUUGAACUCGACACUUUCUCAAGAGAUUCACAAUUCAAGACAAUGAAAAAUGGAAUGAACUGUGAAAGCGCUGGAAUAGAUUGAAGCUUUUUACAAUCGCGAACAUUAAGUUGAUUGAGUUGGGGGAGAUACUUAAUGUUUUCGGGUAAGCUUGUAAUGGCAAUAUCCAUUAGCAUUAAAGACUCUAAAGACUUUAGUAAGAAGAUAUUGUCUGGAAUUUCAGACAAGGUAGGAAUAUCAGUAAGGUAUAAAUGUUUUACACUGAUGAAGGCAGGACUAGAAAAUACUUUAUGUAAACUGAUGGAAAGGUCAUGUUCACAAUUCGUUGGACUCCCGAGGUAAAUAUGAUCGGCAAAGUUUUCCGGAAGAUCCACAAGACAUUCAAUUAUAGGAAAGUAAAAAAUAUCAAGAUUUUUUUUAUUCAAUAAUGAUGAUGGAAGUUCAUUCCCACCCCACUCUGAUAUACCCAAACGCAAACGAUCAAAGGAAGUAAAUGUGACUGAGAACUCUUGGAGAUUGAUACAUUCCAUAGCAUAUAACUCAGUGAGGGUUGGUGAACAAGUGUUACUUGAAAGGCUCUUAAGUGAUGUACAUCCCAUCACCUUUAAAGUUAUCAGCUUUUGGAGAAAGAAAAUUGAAGAAUCAACUUCAGGCAAACUUUUGCAGUAAUUAAAUGUUACAAGUUUUAGAUUUGGGGAGCCAGACACAUUUGGACACUCUAUCAACUUGUUGGAGCCAGUGAGGUUAAGUGUCUCCAAAUUUGGCAAACUCUGUAACAAUAUACAGUUGGCCAAACAAGUUAAUUAGUACAUUUUCAUAAAUCCAAUAGAUUUCACAAAUCAGUUGUUGGUAAGCAUCUAACAAAGUUUUGGGUUUGGUUUAAUUGUACCAAUAAAAAAAACUUUGGAUCUGUUCAUCUAAAAUAAACAAUUCAUUUUAUGAUAUAAAGUGAAUAAUAUAUCAACUCUAUUGACUAACAAA